UCCUCCCCUCCAUCCCCACACAUUUUCACUUUCAGUGGCUUCUGUUAUCCUGGGUAAACUGCUGUCCAAAAACGUUAGCUACAGAGGCUGAGAAGCUAAUUCAGUCAGUAAUGUGCUCAUAGCACAAGCCUGCUAGAUCUCCAGCACUCGUGCCAAAAGCAAAGAAGGGUGUUGCACACUGGUGAUGCCAGCACUGAGGAGAUGGGACAGGCUAGUGAUCAGCAAGCCUAGUUCAACCAUUUCCUCACUGGGAGCCCCCUCUCCAUUAUUAGAACCAGUGGGUGGGUACUCAUGGUUAAGUGACUUGACUUCAUGCCUGCUCCAAAGAGUAACAGUGACACUAAGGAUUUGGACAUGUGCCCAAGAGAAAGUAAGAAAAGGAGGAAAAUGCUCCCCUUAUGAAGGAAAUAAACAAUCCUGUACUGAGAUUGCUAAGAUCAGUGGUUAAGAAUAAACCUUGUCUGUGAAAUUAUGAA
rnacentral:lncRNA from 1 species